CUUGAUUCCAACAGCCUGUGUUUACAGUAAGAAUUACAGUAAGCACCUCCUAAGUUCUAAAGGGCACAGAAAACUGUGACUCCUUGAUACAUCAGGCUCCAGAACCAGUGGGGGAGGAAGGAAGGAAGCAGCCAAGAUCCGGCCACAACAGCUUCUCCGGCUAUUUUUCUUUAUGGGUCAAGGCCCCUGAAAACCUGUACUAGGUCAGGCCUGCUUGUCCAGUGGCUCAGAUUUAAAGGACAUCUAGUUCUCUCUGAUUUUGGCCUCAAUAUGAAUUUAUCAUCUUAAUGUCCUGAGAGCAUCUCUAAUCUGCCAUUUCUAUCAUUGAAGACUUUAUAUCGAUUUGGGACACCCCUAACCUAUCUGCUUGUUUGCUUACUGUCCUCUCAACAUGCCCAUGAGAAAAGUGCUUUGUGAACAAAAGUUCCCAGAAUUUUAAUUAAAACAAAACAAAACAACAACGACAACAACAACAAAAACUGUGCUUUACAUGGAAUCUUCUGCAAGGCUGAGUCAAUGCUUGAAACUUUAAUGGCUUUGGAGAAAUUCGGAUGCCAGAGGUCCACAGUCUAAUUGCAGUGUAUCUUGGGUUACUUUUAAUGAACUAAACAGCCACUCCUUGACCACCUCUGAGUCUGACCUAACAACCUUGUAGCUAUGAGGUAAACAAACCCUUUGGAAUGUAUGAACAGAUCACCAGCCUCCAUCAAUUGAAAGACUAGCAAUGUAGUCAGGUAGCACCUGAGUUCUCUGCUCUACUGUCACUUGCCUCCCCUCUGUUUCCUCCAGUCUACCCGAACAGUGUCUUCAUCUAUAAUUUUAUUACUCUGUUCCUAUAAUAACUUCCUGAAACUGUUACCAGGUUGGGAUGUGAAAUUUGGGACAUCCUAAUGCUAUGUUACUAGGCCAUAUUCACUCACAUUUGACUCCAGAGCAAACUAUGUGUUACCUACUUUGAAGAAAGAGUUUUGUUUUUGUGGUCACAAUUUGGGCCCAAUAUUGGAUGCUUAGCUUCAGGUUUCCUUAUUGGCUAAUGAGUUUUGAGUGUGAUGGUGUUUCAAGCUUCCUUAUUGGCUAAUGGGUAUUGGUUGUAGGGGUGUGUUUUAUUUUAAUAUCUAACGUGCUCCUACGUGCAUUUGUAUUUAAUUCUGUUUCCUUUGGGAAUCACAUUUCUCUCUAGUUAGUUUCUAAUGACCAAUUUUUUGAGGGCAUCUGCACCACAGAGGCAGCAGCUGAAUUCCAUUAUGGCCAAGUUUUCUCAGCAGGAACCUCCUCUGGCCUAAGCAUC
rnacentral:lncRNA from 1 species